UAAACAUAUAAAUAGAAUAAUGGAUAAUGUAAGAAGAUUUUAAUCUUCAUACGAGCACAAUCUUUGUGUCAAGCACAAUAGUAUUGAGAAAAUUACUCACCGUCUUUUUUUUUAAGCUGCCACAAAAUUCGUAAAAUUCAUAUCAGAAACUUGAACACCAGUGGUGGUUUCGCUUCAAGGACCUCGUAGCAUACGAACAUCGUUGGUUAUCGUUGAACCUUCAUUUCGUCGAUCUUUUACGAAUAAUCGUCCAAAUUUAAUAGAGGAACUCACGUAACGUAUAUUUAAUCAAGUUUUAAAUUAAUCUAAGUCACUGUGCACAAUUCAUCGAUGUAUUUGAACGAAAACACGAAAAAAUUCGUUUCAGAUUUCUCGAGCGUGCACGGUGCAGGCGCCGACCGGCCGCCAUCAUAGAAAUCAAUAAAACCGCUAAGGGAAACUUAGUACGUCGAUUCUAUAUUCAACGAAACGUACAGUUUCAUGGUUAAUCGUUCCUUGAUGAGUAUCAACGAAAUCGAAAGAAAUAUAUUUAAGAAUUUAUGAUAUUUUAUUUACGAAGUGAUAAUAUUGUUAUAAGUGUCAAUUUAACGUGUUGCAAAUUGUUCUAUAAUUAUUCUAUAUUUUAUCCAUUUUAUCCAUAUAUUUUUAAAUAGGUAUGAAUAUCUGUAUCUUAAAACUAUGAAAAUAUCAAUUUAUUAUAUAUAAUGAAUAAUAUAUUAUUUUAUAUUGGUUAUAUAUUUUCUCUCUGUAGACGAAUUAUCUUUGUUGUGACUUCAAUGAGAAUAGAAUUGUGAAUUCAAUGAGUAGGAGAAAAUUUUUAAGAAUCCAAAACUUCAUUAAUUAAUUAAUUACUUAAUUUUACAUGUUAUUGAUUCUAUUGAUUGUAGUGAAGCCAAUAAAUUAGAUUUUGUAUAAACACUAAGAUUUUCACUUUUUUCACGUCACGUAAGUACAUAAAUUUAAUAGAUGUAAGAAAAAGAUACGAAUUGUGACAUCAAAGAAUGAAAGUGUACAAAUUACGUUACAAACAAAUAAUUGUUCACAAAUAUGCUCAUAAAAGUUCAUUAACGCAUAUCCGCUUUAUGAUUAUAAUGAUUCUUUAACUGUUUUAUCGAUUCGGCUUUGAUUGAUUGUUUCUGCUCAACACGAUUUUUAUUAUAUAAUUAGAUUAUUUGAGAAAAAAACCAUGGUUUUGUUGUUUGACGAGGAAAUAAAUAAAACGGAAUUUGUCUGAUGGGGUAAAAAUCAGAAAAUACAAUAAAAGAAAGAAUCAAGAAAAGAACUGUGUAUGUAUUAUAUACAAAAAUAAAAUUUUAAUUUUGUAUAA